rnacentral:rRNA from 1 species
UACGUAGGGGGCAAGCGUUGUCCGGAAUCAUUGGGCGUAAAGCGCGCGUAGGUGGCCCAGUAAGUCCGCUCUGAAAGUCAAAGGCUCAACCUUUGAAAGCCGAUGGAUACUGCGGAGCUAGAGUACGGAAGAGGCGAGUGGAAUUCCUGGUGUAGCGGUGGAAUGCGCAGAUAUCAGGAGGAACACCAAUAGCGAAGGCAGCUCGCUGGGACGUUACUGACACUGAGGCGCGAAAGCGUGGAGAGCGAACAGG